rnacentral:tRNA from 1 species
UAACUUGAAGCUUAAGGCAUCUAACUGUUAAUUAGAAUAUAGUCAGUAUAAAUUCUGACCAGGUUAA